rnacentral:rRNA from 1 species
GAUGAACGCUGGCGGCGUGCCUAAUACAUGCAAGUCGAGCGAACAGACGAGGAGCUUGCUCCUCUGACGUUAGCGGCGGACGGGUGAGUAACACGUGGAUAACCUACCUAUAAGACUGGGAUAACUUCGGGAAACCGGAGCUAAUACCGGAUAAUAUAUUGAACCGCAUGGUUCAAUAGUGAAAGACGGUUUUGCUGUCCCUUAUAGAUGGAUCCGCGCAGCAUUAGCUAGUUGGUAAGGUAACGGCUUACGAAGGCGACGAUGCGUAGCCGACCUGUGAGGGUGAUCGGCCACACUGAAAUUGAGACACGGGCCAGACUCCUAAGGGAGGCAGCAGUAGGGAAUCUUCCGAAAGGUGCGAAAGCUUGACGGAGCAACGCCGGGUGAGUGAUGAAGAUAUUCGGUUCGUAAAACUGUGUUAUGAGGGAAGAAAAAAUGUGUAAGCAACUAUGCACGUCUUGACGGUACCUAAUCAGAAAGCCACGGCUAACUACGUG